rnacentral:rRNA from 1 species
AUUGAACGCUGGCGGCAGGCUUAACACAUGCAAGUCGAGCGGGCGAGGUUGCUUCGGUAACUUAGCUAGCGGCGGACGGGUGAGUAAUGCUUAGGAAUCUGCCUAUUAGUGGGGGACAACAUUUCGAAAGGGAUGCUAAUACCGCAUACGUCCUACGGGAGAAAGCAGGGGAUCUUUAUGACCUUGCGCUAAUAGAUGAGCCUAAGUCGGAUUAGCUAGUUGGGGGGGUAAAGGCCUACCAAGGCGACGAUCUGUAGCGGGUCUGAGAGGAUGAUCCGCCACACUGGGACUGAGACACGGCCCAGACUCCUACGGGAGGUAGCAGUGGGGAAUAUUGGACAAUGGGGGGAACCCUGAUCCAGCCAUGCCGCGUGUGUGAAGAAGGCCUUUUGGUUGUAAAGCACUUUAAGUGGGGAGGAGGCUUACCUGGUUAAUACCUGGGCUAAGUGGACGUUACCCACAGAAUAAGCACCGGCUAACUCUGUGCCAGCAGCCGCCGUAACAC